GAGCUUAUGACCAACUGAGACCUGAUUGAUGAUGUCGGUCCAAAGGUGACAUCACUGACA
rnacentral:miRNA from 13 species